CAUUUGUUUUGAAUUGAGAUUUAUUCCUAAAGUUUAGUAAUUUUACAAGUUACAAAAACAACUUACAGUAAAUCUGUUUGUAAAAAAGAUCAACCCUGGGUGAUGUAUCCUUCAAUUUUUAAGAAUUCUAACUCUGACUCUGAUGUUUAGUACAGGGCUUUUUGGUGGAACAAGUCUAUGCUUGCAUAAGUCAAACAGUUUUUUCCCAAGCAGCUCCCAAGGGUGUGAUGCGUUUCUUCGCCACAAGAUGACAUUGAUUUCUCCAUCAGUAUUGAAGAAAUACGGUAUUCCCUUUGACAAGAUAACUCAGGAGGCUGGAUAAUUCAUGCACACUUUCCCAUAUGGCUACUAUGCUGGCUUUAAUCAUGGUUUCAACUGUGCAGAAUCUACGAAUUUUGUUAUUGUCAGAUGGAUCGACUAUGGAAAAGGUGCCAAAUUGGUAAGCUAUGCCUCAGAAAUAAAGCAUAAAUUAAAUGGGCAUUCUGGUUUUUGUAGUAGGAACCCUAAGAUUCUGUG